UACGAAGGGGGCUAGCGUUGCUCGGAAUCACUGGGCGUAAAGCGCACGUAGGCGGAUUGUUAAGUCAGGGGUGAAAUCCUGGAGCUCAACUCCAGAACUGCCUUUGAUACUGGCGAUCUUGAGUCCGGGAGAGGUGAGUGGCAACUGCGAGUGUAGAGGUGAAAUUCGUAGAUAUUCGCAAGAACACCAGUGGCGAAGGCGGCUCACUGGCCCGGUACUGACGCUGAGGUGCGAAAGCGUGGGAGCAACAGG
rnacentral:rRNA from 1 species